UUGUGUGAAGAGUCACAGAAUGCAUUGGUC
rnacentral:piRNA from 1 species